GGCGAACGGGUGAGUAACACGUGAGUAACCUGCCCUUAACUCUGGGAUAAGCCUGGGAAACUGGGUCUAAUACCGGAUAUGACUGAUCAUCGCAUGGUGGUUGGUGGAAAGCUUUUUGUGGUUUUGGAUGGACUCGCGGCCUAUCAGCUUGUUGGUGAGGUAAUGGCUUACCAAGGCGACGACGGGUAGCCGGCCUGAGAGGGUGACCGGCCACACUGGGACUGAGACACGGCCCAGACUCCUACGGGAGGCAGCAGUGGGGAAUAUUGCACAAUGGGCGCAAGCCUGAUGCAGCGACGCCGCGUGAGGGAUGACGGCCUUCGGGUUGUAAACCUCUUUCAGUAGGGAAGAAGCGAAAGUGACGGUACCUGCAGAAGAAGCGCCGGCUAACUACGUGCCAGCAGCCGCGGUAAUACGUAGGGCGCAAGCGUUAUCCGGAAUUAUUGGGCGUAAAGAGCUCGUAGGCGGUUUGUCGCGUCUGCCGUGAAAGUCCGGGGCUCAACUCCGGAUCUGCGGUGGGUACGGGCAGACUAGAGUGAUGUA
rnacentral:rRNA from 1 species